AGGAUCAUUGCACACACAAAGUUGCAGCAAACCCCUUUGCGAAUUUCAUGAAUGUCCCCCUUGGGGGGCUGGGGCACUUAUCACCUCGGUGGUGGGCGUCCCGGCCUGCCAAACCCAAGUUCCCAAGUGGGCUUGGGGCUCUCCCUCCCUAAACCGGGGGGCGGUCCCCUCGUCACACCUCGGGGGCUUGGUGUACCCAACCGAUUGCGCAAUGCAUCAACACUUUCAAUGACUGAGUAUAAAAAUCGGGACCACCGAUCUCGAUUGGUGGCCCCCGAGUUGUAAUAAACAAAAACAACUCUCAGCAACGGAUAUCUUGGCUCUUGCAACGAUGAAGAACGCAGCGAAAUGCGAUACGUAGUGUGAAUUGCAGAAUUCCGCGAAUCAUCGAGUCUUUGAACGCAAGUUGCGCCCGAGGCUUGACCAAGGGCAUCUCUGCCAGAGCGUCACCGCGACACCCACCAAACCACUCCAAAGUGGUUUGAGUGAAAGUGGCCAUCCGAAUGAGGCCGCCCCGGGACUUCACUGUUCCUUGGGCGGCAGAUUGGGUUGGCUGAAAUGGAGGGAAUUUGGCCGCCGUGGUGACACAGCCCGCGAUCAGGUGAUCCAGGCCCCUUUGUGGGGUGUCCUGGAACUCAAAUGUGCGUCGGUUGUGCCACCCAAGGCUUUAGGUUCCAAAGCAGGUCCCUCCCGACGCCUUCACGGGCGGAGGGAGGAAAACGUC
rnacentral:rRNA from 1 species